CUUUCUCUCCCCCUCUCCCUCUCCCUCUCCCUCUCCCUCCUUUCCUCCUCCCACUCUAACUCAAUGGGAGAAUCAAAAAAGCCUGAGCAGCAGCCCUGCAGAAAGAAAAGUGGCACCAGUAUUGUUGCCUCCCUCAUACCCUCAAGGUCCCAGACGUGAUAGUCCUCUAGGAGCUCUGAAGAGUGGAGACCAGGGUAGAUGAUGGAUCACCGGGUAAACCAUGAAGAAUGCCGGGAUAUGGAGCAGCAGUAGUGACCACACCUACUGGGACAACCCAUCUUGUCACUGUCCUAUUAGACAAGGUCCAAGAUAGGCUGUUUGAAAGUACCUCACCUGGGAAGGCAAAUGCACCCCCAUGGACAAGAACUUCACAUGAAUUUUCAAGAUUGGCAGUGAACUUCACAGUGGAUGUGAUCUCACGCCCUGUGCCCAGAUUGCUGCACUCACCUGGGGGAUUAAAUACAUUGGUUGAUGAUAACCUUGCUAAGAUAUCUCCAAGCCCAUGUGUGGCAGGGAGAGGGGCUGACUCUUGGACAAUUCAGAGGAUCAAUCUUUCCAUCAGGAUCAAUGGGCAUUCCCACUCAGGGGGGGGAGGCCAGGCCAGACCCAGAAAGAUUCAGGACCCAGCAGAGUUCUGAAGCAACCCCA
ensembl:lncRNA